rnacentral:rRNA from 1 species
UUAAAUUGAAGAGUUUGAUCAUGGCUCAGAUUGAACGCUGGCGGCAGGCCUAACACAUGCAAGUCGAACGGUAACAGGAAACAGCUUGCUGUUUCGCUGACGAGUGGCGGACGGGUGAGUAAUGUCUGGGAAACUGCCUGAUGGAGGGGAUAACUACUGGAAACGGUAGCUAAUACCGCAUAACGUCGCAAGACCAAAGAGGGGGACCUUCGGGCCUCUUGCCAUCGGAUGUGCCCAGAUGGGAUUAGCUUGUUGGUGGGGUAACGGCUCACCAAGGCGACGAUCCCUAGCUGGUCUGAGAGGAUGACCAGCCACACUGGAACUGAGACACGGUCCAGACUCCUACGGGAGGCAGCAGUGGGGAAUAUUGCACAAUGGGCGCAAGCCUGAUGCAGCCAUGCCGCGUGUAUGAAGAAGGCCUUCGGGUUGUAAAGUACUUUCAGCGGGGAGGAAGGGAGUAAAGUUAAUACCUUUACUCAUUGACGUUACCCGCAGAAGAAGCACCGGCUAACUCCGUGCCAGCAGCCGCGGUAAUACGGAGGGUGCAAGCGUUAAUCGGAAUUACUGGGCGUAAAGCGCACGCAGGCGGUUUGUUAAGUCAGAUGUGAAAUCCCCGGGCUCAACCUGGGAACUGCAUCUGAUACUGGCAAGCUUGAGUCUCGUAGAGGGGGUAGAAUUCCAGGUGUAGCGGUGAAAUGCGUAGAGAUCUGGAGGAAUACCGGUGGCGAAGGCGGCCCCCUGGACGAAGACUGACGCUCAGGUGCGAAAGCGUGGGGAGCAAACAGGAUUAGAUACCCUGGUAGUCCACGCCGUAAACGAUGUCGACUUGGAGGUUGUGCCCUUGAGGCGUGGCUUCCGGAGCUAACGCGUUAAGUCGACCGCCUGGGGAGUACGGCCGCAAGGUUAAAACUCAAAUGAAUUGACGGGGGCCCGCACAAGCGGUGGAGCAUGUGGUUUAAUUCGAUGCAACGCGAAGAACCUUACCUGGUCUUGACAUCCACGGAAGUUUUCAGAGAUGAGAAUGUGCCUUCGGGAACCGUGAGACAGGUGCUGCAUGGCUGUCGUCAGCUCGUGUUGUGAAAUGUUGGGUUAAGUCCCGCAACGAGCGCAACCCUUAUCCUUUGUUGCCAGCGGUCCGGCCGGGAACUCAAAGGAGACUGCCAGUGAUAAACUGGAGGAAGGUGGGGAUGACGUCAAGUCAUCAUGGCCCUUACGACCAGGGCUACACACGUGCUACAAUGGCGCAUACAAAGAGAAGCGACCUCGCGAGAGCAAGCGGACCUCAUAAAGUGCGUCGUAGUCCGGAUUGGAGUCUGCAACUCGACUCCAUGAAGUCGGAAUCGCUAGUAAUCGUGGAUCAGAAUGCCACGGUGAAUACGUUCCCGGGCCUUGUACACACCGCCCGUCACACCAUGGGAGUGGGUUGCAAAAGAAGUAGGUAGCUUAACCUUCGGGAGGGCGCUUACCACUUUGUGAUUCAUGACUGGGGUGAAGUCGUAACAAGGUAACCGUAGGGGAACCUGCGGUUGGAUCACCUCCUUACCUUAAAGAAGC